GACGAACGCUGGCGGCGUGCUUAACACAUGCAAGUCGAACGGUGAAGCGCCUUCCUUUUUGGUGGGUGUGGAUGAGUGGCGAACGGGUGAGUAACACGUGAGUAACCUGCCCCCUUCUUCUGGAUAACCGCAUGAAAGUGUGGCUAAUACGGGAUAUUCUGGGUCUGUCGCAUGAUGGGUCUGGGAAAGAUAUUGUUUCGGUGGGGGAUGGGCUCGCGGCCUAUCAGCUUGUUGGUGGGGUGAUGGCCUACCAAGGCGGUGACGGGUAGCCGGCCUGAGAGGGUAGACGGUCACACUGGGACUGAGACACGGCCCAGACUCCUACGGGAGGCAGCAGUGGGGAAUAUUGCACAAUGGGCGCAAGCCUGAUGCAGCGACGCCGCGUGAGGGAUGGAGGCCUUCGGGUGGUGAACCUCUUUCGCCAGUGAAGCAGGCCUGCCUCGUUUGUGGGUGGGUUGACGGUAGCUGGAUAAGAAGCGCCGGCUAACUACGUG
rnacentral:rRNA from 1 species